UUACAUGCUUUUUUCAUAUCAGUGUUCAUGUAGAUGUUUAAGCUCUUGCAGUAGGUUUUUGCAAGCUAGUGAACGCUGCCAAAUUAUGCUCGCCACACAAUUGCAGCCACCUAUUCCCAGGCAGUAUAAAUAUAUGGCUGAACUAACAUUAAUACCUAUCACUGUUUUAUCAAGUGACAUAAUCAAGAUAAUUAUGAAGUAUCCAAAUAUUAAUUUUCAUAGAUUAAAAGCAGAUAAAGUAUUAGAAAUCUGCUUAUAUCAUUAGCAGAAACAUUUUUGGGGGCCACAGGGUAAGGAAAAGAGGGGAAAAUAUUGUCCUUCAACAAAAGUAAUCAUAUUCUAGUAAGUAUAAUAAAAGAAAUGACAAGCUUUUCAGAAUUUCCACGACUAAAAAUUGUUUUAGCUGCAGCUAAAAAAGCAUCACAUAACAAAAUAUCUCUUGUUUAAAAUAUUUGCUACAAAAAAGUCCUAUUCUAUAUGUCCUGCAUAAGAACAAGUAUCUUUAUAUAAGAAAUGUGUUUAAUAGCCCUCUUUCAUUCUUUUUCUGAAGCCCUCCCUGUUAAAUUGCACCCAAAGGGGAAACAUUAAUUGAACUGUAAAGCUUUUUUUUUUUCUGUCUAAAGACAUUAAAGACAUAUAGGUGGUAUUAAAUGAACCUUUAACUAGAGCUCUGUGAGUUUUCAAAAUAGAUUUUAUUUUUCUUUACCAUAGGCCAACAGAGAUUUUGAGAAACACAUUGAAGGAUCUGUUAACACUUGAUAUACCCAAUAAAAGCAGUGGUUGUGCCAGUGCUGAUCUGUCUUGAUGUGAAUGUGAACAAUGGGAACCUGAGCUGAGCAGUUAAUGCUAGGGUGACAGAAACUGGACCUCUCCCAAGACAUGUGACAGAGUAAUACAGCAGCCAACUUCUUCGCCAAAUUAAAGUUUUACAAGAUUUAACCUGUCAUCAAGACCUGGGAUUUUGGUGAGCCAGUCUUGGUGCUCUGUGUUCACCUGGUUCAUCUGAGGAGCUGCAUCUACCCUGCCCAUGCCAUAGAUCCUGCCCUGUUUGCUUCUCCUGUUGCUGCUAGUGGACAUGAGAAGGACAGAAUAACGGGCUCCCAGAUUCACAAGCCCCACCAAGAGGAUCACCCCAGGAACGCUUGGAGGCUGAGGAGUUCACUGAGGCUACUGCAUCUUGAGACUCAGGAUGAAGACCCAGCUUGGGGCUGUCAAAGGUUUUUUGCAUGUCUGACACCCAUGACUCCACCUGGACCUUAUGGCUCCACCCAGAAGCAAUUCAGCCCAACAGGAGGACAGCUUCAACCCAUUACGAUUUCAUCUCUGCCCCAACCACUCAGCAGCAAGCACCUGUUACCUGUCCACCCCCACCCCUUCCCCCAAACUGCCUUUGAAAAAUCCCUAACCUAUGAGCUUUGAAUAAGAUGAGUACGAACUUCAUCGCCCACGUGGCGUGGCCGGCCUCGUGUCUAUUAAAUUCUUUUUCUACU
rnacentral:lncRNA from 1 species